AGUGGCAGACGGGUGAGUAAUGUAUAGGAAUCUACCUAGUAGUACGGAAUAAUUGUUGGAAACGGCAACUAAUACCGUAUACGCCCUACGGGGGAAAAAUUUAUUGCUAUUAGAUGAGCCUAUAUUAGAUUAGUUAGUUGGUGAGGUAAAGGCUUACCAAGACAAUGAUCUAUAGCUGAUCUGAGAGGAUGAUCAGCCACACUGGAACUGAGAUACGGUCCAGCCUCCUACGGGAGGCAGCAGUGGGGAAUAUUGGACAAUGGGCGAAAGCCUGAUCCAGCCAUGCCGCAUGGGUGAAGAAGGCCUUCGGGUUGUAAAGCUCUUUUAGUGAGGAAGAUAAUGACGGUACUCACAGAAGAAGUCCUGGCUAACUCCGUGCCAGCAGCCGCGGUAAUACGGAGAGGGCUAGCGUUAUUCGGAAUCAUUGGGCGUAAAGGGCGCGUAGGCGGGUUAGUAAGUUAAAAGUGAAAUCCCAAGGCUCAACCUUGGAACUGCUUUUAAAACUGCUAGUCUAGAGAUUGAAAGAGGAUAGAGGAAUUCCUAGUGUAGAGGUGAAAUUCGUAAAUAUUANGAGGAACACCAGUGGCGAANGCGUCUAUCUGGUUCAAAUCUGACGCUG
rnacentral:rRNA from 1 species